rnacentral:rRNA from 1 species
UGCCAGCCGCCGCGGUAAUACGGAGGGUGCAAGCGUCGUCCGGAAUUACUGGGCGUAAAGCGCACGUAGGCGGAUUGGAAAGUUGGGGGUGAAAUCCCGGGGCUUAACCCCGGAACUGCCCUCAAAACUGUCGAUCUAGAGACCGGGAGAGGUAAGCGGAAUUCCUAGUGUAGAGGUGAAAUUCGUAGAUAUUAGGAAGAACACCAGUGGCGAAGGCGGCUUACUGGACCGGUACUGACGCUGAGGUACGAAAGCGUGGGGAGCGAACAGGAUUAGAUA